GAUGGACACCCCAUUCAGAACCAAUCAUCAGAAAUCACGCGAGUUGAAUCAGAAAGUGGGGUGCCGCCUGACCCCACUAGUUGGUCAGAAGGUUCAAAUCAACGUUUCAUAUCGAAUUUCCGAGUAGGCGGAAAUGAUGAAUUUAUUGUGCUGUAUCUAAAAGUAGAAGAUCUUCUGAUGUCCUUUCCCUUCGUCAAAGGAAUCUUCUAGCUUGGAUGGAAGGAUGGAGGAAGGAGCAAAAAGGAGUACAGUAGUUAUCCAACCUGCUGACUAAGAAACCUCCUGAAACAUGUCAAUGACCUGAUGCUUGACCUCUACAGCAGUGCUUGGCCACCCACACAGUUACCACUGAUCUAUUCUACCACAUCCCAGGGAAAAGAGAGAGCAGAACCACCCCUCCUUAAAUUACAUUUACAGUGCAAAACCCUUGUGUCCUGAUUCAACAGACUUGUAAGUGUCAUGAAACGCCAGAAAACUCAGGAGGUUGAUGUGUUGCGGGCCCUCUGGAAAGUUCCAAAAUAUUCCCCUGUUGGAGAAGGAUGCUAAAUCUGACAUGUCACACAACUCUUCAAGAGGGCCACUACGCUCCAGAUCGCCUUCUGUGCUCAGAGGUCCCUGAUGAGGAUCUAGCCCAUCACACCACUCUUAUUAAUCAUUCAUCAAAUAAAACAAGGGGCCUUUAUAUACUCCCA